rnacentral:rRNA from 1 species
AACUGUACACCCGAAC